CGGAGAACCAAAAACCAAACUCAUAGAGAAAAUACAGAAUACCCCGAUAAUUCUUCAAAGAAAGAAAGUCCAGAAGAAAACAUCAUUUAAUCCCACUGAAAUCAAAUAUAACAAGAUCAAUAUAUCUUCCCAUACAUAUAUAUCAGAUGAAGCAUCAAGUAGAAGAAACAGAAUCAUAAUAUCAUAUGUAUUCUCUCAUCAAUUCUUAUCAGAAGAAAUGAAAUAGAAUACCCAAUGAAAUAGAGCAAUAUAAAUUAUAAACCAGUCAGACUACC
rnacentral:lncRNA from 1 species